rnacentral:lncRNA from 1 species
UCCAUUCUCACAUUGCUGAGAUGCCCUCUGUUCUGUUCUCCCACUGGGCCUCGCUUUCUUGUAGGUCACAGGAUUUUCCUUCUGGUUGAGCUGAGAAGAGCAGAACAGCCACAUCACCAGGUCACCAGGAGCCGCAGCAACCCUUUCGUUUCCCCAGGAAGGCCAACAGUCCCUCCGCUGAGGGAGGGCAGCAGGACCCAGGCCAGUACCUGCAUAUGGUGAUUACCCAGAAGCUGUCCGUUUUAGGAACAGUGAAUUCAGGAACUGCUUGACUUUAUGUUAAAUGUUGGAGAAAUGUCAUCUUUCCCAGGCAGAGAAAAAUAAUGCAGAAAGAGUGUUAUUUUGUUUGGAGGUAGACAAAGGACUAGCUGACUUCUGGCUGUCCCUACAAUCCCGCGAAUCCAUUUCAUUUCACAUGGUCCUCAUGUGGGGAAACAGAAUCCAUUUUUCUUUGUCAUUAAAAUUCUAAAGAACAUUAUAUAGAUGUUAAUGAAAGUCUAGUUUGCUCAUCAGGUGAGAAAAAUCUAUGUAGAUUGGUAGAUGAGUCUUGCAAAUUCAAGGUCUGCUUUUCAUUAGAUUAGACAGCACUGCCACCUUGUGGGUGCUGAGAGUUCCUCGUGGAGCUGCGUGCCACGGCUAUUUCUUGGUAAAUUACUGUGAAUAAGGUCAUUUGCAUUCUGAAAUCGAAUCUAAACAGGGUACUUCAAGGAGAAUUCUGUGGCCUGGUAUUUACUGUCACUCAGGAAUUCGGGCUCACUACUUAUAAAGGCAGAGAUUUCCAGUAAGAAAAGUUCAAUACUCCUUUGUAUUUUUUUUCUUUACAACACAGUCCCAGGAAGGGUGUACGGCAGUACUGUGUCCAUGUCCAACACGUGCUUGAAUAAAUUAUUUUCUCUAUGUGCUCGCAUUAUCAAAGUGGAACACAGGGUGGCUCUUUUUUCCUUCAUUUCCUUCCUCCCUCC